rnacentral:rRNA from 1 species
UACGUAGGUGGCGAGCGUUGUCCGGAUUUAUUGGGCGUAAAGCGCGCGCAGGCGGUUCGCUCCGUCCGGUGUGAAAUCUCCCGGCUCACCUGGGAGGGGGCGCUGGAGACUGGCGAACUGGAGGCAGGGAGAGGUCGGUGGAAUUCCCGGUGUAGUGGUGAAAUGCGUAGAUAUCGGGAGGAACACCAGUGGCGAAGGCGGCUUCCUGGCCUGUUCUUGACGCUGAGGCGCGAAAGCUAGGGGAGCAAACGGG